GGGGCGGGGCUGGGCGCUGACUAGGGCGGGAGAAAGGAAGAGUGCUCCAAUAAGGCCGCAGGCAGAAGGGCUCGUCCCUUCCUGACCCCUCUGUUCCUGGGCCCAGGGCCCAGGGCCCAGGGCCUGCUCGGAACCUCUCCCGGGGGCACCAUAGGUCUGUGAGCCCCUGAAUUCCAGGGAGGCCCCAGCAGAGCCCCAGACACAGACCGGAGCUGUCCGGCACACACCUGCCGGUGCUUCCUGCCAGACCUGCUGGGGAGGGGUCUACGCACAGGCAGACCCUCCUCCACCUCACACAGAAUCAAGGGUCCUGCACAGUCACACAGCUGGGUCACGUGACACUGGGAGGCUGCUUUCGCUCAGGAAGGACGUGUGAAGAUAAACCAUUUUCAAGCACUGCUGUUCUGAGGGCGGCUGCGCAGGGGCUCAUAAUCCGCCUCGGCAAGCUCUGCUUCACUGACCUGAAUCCUUACACUGAACUCUGAAUUUGUGGAAACAAGUGCCCAUAAAAAUACAGCUGUUUUAAAGGGCACGUUCAUUGGUUUGCUUAAAAUUGUAGUCCAAUUAAGAGUCAAUAAAAUGCCAAUAAACCUCCA